rnacentral:lncRNA from 1 species
UUUGCUUAUGUUCAUCUCCCUAACCCACGUAAUUUCUUUCUACUUUGUUUUGGUGUUUGUGUGAAAUUUUGUGAUCUUGUUUCUUUUUGGAGGGUUUUUUCAUUUUGAUUAUUGUAUGUGUUUUUCAGUACAUCAAUAGUUACUCAAUUUUAAUUAAAAUAAUAAAAUAAUCAUUACUAAAUUUAAAAAAAAAUAACAAAUCAAUUAUUUUCCGUUACAAAUGUAGAAACUCAGAUUAAGAACUCUAGUUGCUGGAAGAAGAAGCAGCAGAAGCAGAAGAGAAGAAGAAUAACAAGAAGAGAAGAAUUGGAGAUACCCGUAGUUGAUUUGAGUUUUCUCUUUCAUUUUCUUUGUUGAUUUUCUCAGCAUCCAAACAAUGGAGAGUUUAGCUCCACUGCUCCUUUAUCGUUGCCGCCGCCAUUGCCAUUGCCAUUGCCACUGCCACCACUCCUUUCUCACUUAAUCCUGAUGUUUCCCUCCCUUUCUACUCUAAACCCAUAUCCAAACUAUCUCCGCCGUCCAUUUUCUUCAUUCUCUGCCCUCCGAUCCCCUCUCAAUUCUCUCUUGUUUUCCCCUCUUUCCAAACGAAGAAACUCUUUACUUUUCCUUACUCAUGCCACUUCUCAAAACGACAAUGACUCACCACCUUAAACGACACCUUCUCCUCCUCUGCCACCGCAAGGAGCUAAACUCCUCCCUUUCCUCAUCUAAAUUUCAUUAGGCAGUAGCAGCAGGGGAAGAAGAAUAAGAGAAGUGAUAGAGCAAGAACUUGAGACAACCCUUUGGUGCUUCAAUGGAAAUGGAAGCAGAAGAUGAAAGAUAACCAUUCAUGGAUGAUAUUUUUAACAGCUUGAAAAGCUCUUAUAGAACCCUUUUCCCAAAAUUCAAUCUUCCCUUUCUUCUUUUGAAAAAUGUUCUCUGCUUCUUCUUUUUUUUAAAAUCGUUUUCGUCUUUUCUUCCUCCUCUCUACUUUCAUUUACUUUCUAGUUCAAUAUUCGACGAGCUCCAGCGUCGAGUUCAUUGACGUCGGGCGGUGGAGCUGGUAAAAAACUUCACUUUUUAUAUUAAAAAAAAAAAAUUCUAUAUGCAUCUUUUGUGUUCUCAAAAAAUCUUUUUAGAACUCGUAUCUGGUAGAAUGUUUUCCUUUUUGCAAGGGUUCGUUUAGUGUUGUGUUAUUAUGAAACUCUAUGUUGUUUCAAUAUGUUUCUCACUGGUACAAACUGUAUUGCCAAG